rnacentral:rRNA from 1 species
CACGUAGGGCGCAAGCGUUGUCCGGAAUUAUUGGGCGUAAAGAGCUCGUAGGUGGUUUGUUACGUCCGCUGUGAAAUCCUAGGGCUUAACCCUGGGCUUGCAGUGGAUACGGGCAGACUAGAGGUAGGUAGGGGAGAAUGGAAUUCCUGGUGUAGCGGUGAAAUGCGCAGAUAUCAGGAGGAAUACCGAUGGCGAAGGCAGGUCUCUGGGCUAUAACUGACGCUCAUGCACGAAAGCGUGGGGAGCAAACAGG